rnacentral:rRNA from 1 species
UACAGAGGUCCCAAGCGUUGUUCGGAUUCACUGGGCGUAAAGGGUGCGUAGGCGGUCGGGUAAGUCUGACGUGAAAUCUUCAAGCUCAACUUGGAAACUGCGUCGGAUACUAUUCGGCUAGAGGAAUGGAGGGGAGACUGGAAUACUUGGUGUAGCAGUGAAAUGCGUAGAUAUCAAGUGGAACACCAGUGGCGAAGGCGAGUCUCUGGACAUUUCCUGACGCUGAGGCACGAAAGCUAGGGGAGCAAACGGG